AGGAUUGUAGGAGCUGUCUGUGAAAUAUUGUGUGUUUUAAAGGUUUCAUUGUCUGACAAAAGAUUCAAAUGAACCACUUGGAAAAAUACAACCUUGCUGUUCUCCCUUGCUAAGAGACACAGCCUCCUUCCUGACAGAGCCCUUGAUAAAGUUGUCUUGUCCUAUAUCCAGUGUCAUUAUCUGAAGCCAAAAUCAGAGACAUUCCUUCCAGCUGAUGAAGAGCUGGCUCCUCACCAUGGUCUUCAGAGUCUCCAUUUUGAAGCCCAAACUUCCCAAAUUGGGCAAGGAUCUCCCCUGACUCCACGUAGCAGGGUUAAUCUCCUAAUUUCAAGGUAAUCUCCUGAAAAAAACAACAGGCUCUUUACCAACAAAAACAGUAUUUCCUGACCAGAAUUUAGGUGUUGCAGGAAGGUGAGGAGUUCAAAAUACCGUUGAGCUGAGUAAAGAACUUCUGCCUCCAGACCUCUUGGUGAAGCUCUUCCCCCGAGGCAUGGGCUGGUACAGCACAUUCAGAAGGCCGCUGCCUCCUGUUUGCUUUCUAUGGGAUAUGUGGUUCCUCUAGCUGUUUCUGCAAAUGGUUGCCCAGACUCACAUUUCCCAGGGUUUGAUUUAAAUGUCAGGUCACCUAGACAUCUCCUUCUUCCUCCCUCAUCUUGGGAACCGUAAGCUCCAUCCUGGGGUUUGUUCUUGCUUCUUCUGACAUUUUUUCAGGA